AGAGUGGGUUGGGCGACCGCCGGUUGAAAAACCGGAGGAAAGUCCGGGCAGGACAGGGCACGGUGGUGGCUAACAGCCACCCGGGGUGACCCGAGGGAAAGUGCCACAGAAACUACACAGCCGAUGGUCCCGACUUGUCGGGACUCAGGCAAUGGUGAAAUGGUGCGGUAAGAGCGCACCGCGGUACUGGUGACAGUUCCGGCUGGGCAAACCCCACCGCCUGCAAGACCAAGCGGCUGGUACUCGGCCCGGGUAUUAACAGCAGGUAGGUCGCUUGUCGAAAGGCAGAGCCAACUGGUAACAGUUGGUCAAGAUAAAUGGCCGCCACCCGCCUUACGGCGGGAGACAGAACUCGGCUUACAGACCCACUCUUUUU
rnacentral:RNase_P_RNA from 1 species